rnacentral:rRNA from 1 species
GUGAGGAAUAUUGGUCAAUGGGCGGGAGCCUGAACCAGCCAAGUCGCGUGAAGGAAGAAGGAUCUAUGGUUCGUAAACUUCUUUUGCAGGGGAAUAAAGUGCAGGACGUGUCCUGUUUUGUAUGUACCCUGAGAAUAAGGAUCGGCUAACUCCGUGCCAGCAGCCGCGGUAAUACGGAGGAUCCGAGCGUUAUCCGGAUGUAUUGGGUUUAAAGGGUGCGUAGGUGGUUUGAUAAGUCAGCGGUGAAAGUUUGCAGCUUAACUGUAAAAAUGCCGUUGAAACUGUCGGACUUGAGUGUAAAUGAGGUAGGCGGAAUGCGUGGUGUAGCGGUGAAAUGCAUAGAUAUCACGCAGAACUCCGAUUGCGAAGGCAGCUUACUAAGCUACAACUGACACUGAAGCACGAAAGCGUGGGGAUCAAACAGGAUUAGAAACCCGGGUAGUCC